UACGGGGGGGGCAAGCGUUGUUCGGAAUUACUGGGCGUAAAGGGCGCGUAGGCGGCCUGCUAAGUCGGAUGUGAAAUCCCUCGGCUCAACCGAGGAACUGCAUCCGAUACUGGCGGGCUUGAAUCCGGGAGAGGGAUGUGGAAUUCCAGGUGUAGCGGUGAAAUGCGUAGAUAUCUGGAGGAACACCUGUGGUGUUGACGGCUUACUGGACCAUGACUGACGCUGAGGCACGAAAGCGUGGGGAGCAAACAGG
rnacentral:rRNA from 1 species